GAAGAUAUUAAUUAACUUUCAUUAGAGUCACCUCAUUCAUGUACAGAUGAUCUGCAUAAAUAUUAAAAUUAAGAUUAGCUGAACAGAAAUUACACUUUAAUUCUAGAAUCCUCCUAGCAAUUUACACUACUUUCUCUUUUGCAUUCAAAAAUAUUCACCAUUUUCAAAAGGAUAGCCUGAUCACCAGAGAAACUUUACAAGAGCAGAGAAUAUCUGUGGAUUUUAGUACUGGACUGGUUAAGAGAGAGACCAUAGCAAUUUUCCUAGCUACUUCAAAAUACCAGCUAACCAUGAUGCCAAAUUUACUUGCCUGGAAAUCCAGUCUUGCUGAAAGGAUAUACCUCUUUCCAGCUAAUAAGUGA
rnacentral:lncRNA from 1 species